UGGCUGAGCGGUAAAGCUCUUGACUUCUGAACUGGAGGUUCUAGGUUCAAAUCCUGG
rnacentral:tRNA from 1 species